CAAAGAAGGAAAUGAGGAAACGUAAGAUUAGAAAGUGAAUGGCAAGUGAAGAAAAAUAAUAAAAUGCAAGUCAAGGUGAAGUGAAAAACGCAGACUCACAUAGGAUACAAUUAGUUCGGCACCAGAGACACGAGGCUCCCACUCCGAGUUGUUAUACGCGUACACCAAGUGAAGCAGUAAGCUGGAUCCCAGCAAGUAAGCUACCCCCAAGCAGAUAAAGAGACACGUGUUCUGUGUGCAGGCGGAAGAAAUCGGCAUAAGUCAAUUUUUAUUCAUGCUGAGCAGGCUCUCAAUAUCAGCGGGUGGCACUUAAUUUUAUAUUGUGAAACUCUGAAAGGAAAUUUAGUUAGUGAGAGAGUACAAAGCGUUGCGGUUAAUUAUUGGUAAGAAGUGCUUCGAUGCGUGAUACUUACGAUGAGUGGCCAAUUGAAGGGAAACAGGUAGACUGUAUGUGAUAUGUCGAGAAAGAGCAGCACGCUGGUGGUAAGGAGGGUAAAUAUCGUCACGAACAGCAUCAGCCUCAACCUGGCCAAGAUGGGUAACAUGUGGAACGGCGCCCUUAAUGACAUGCUGGUGCACAGUCCAAUCAAACAAGCCAUGGUGCACACCUGAGACAAUUAAUAGAGAAUUUCAAAACUAGAGCAAUCAUAAUUAUUAUGCCAGACGAGCAGCACCCGAACGAUGCCGGUUGCCGAUUUGAGGUGUUUCUGGUCGCAGUAGACAAUCACCCCCCGGAACAACAUGCGUCCCUCGUCAUCGUCGUCGAGGUCGUGUCGGUAGUUGGCGUGGCUGUCCCACGAGUGGACGGUGCCGACCAACGAGCGGGCGCCCGCCUCGCCGUCCGAGUCGGCGUCGCUGCCUUCGUGGGGCCCCUGCACUCCCUCGGGACCGUCUUCGUCCACGGCCGUCCGACUGCCGGCAAUCUCAAAAUCCUGUGAUCAAGUGAGAGGGUUGAAUCGAGAGCAGGGUGAGAGAGAGCGGCGCUCAUCAAAGGAAUAAAGAAAGAGAAAAAAAAGAGGAAAAAGCAACUCUUUGAGCAAACACAAACAGCAGAAUGUGAUAUGAGGCGGUGUCUGGCUGAGUGAGAGGAGGCGCAAGUAUAAAUAAAAAAAGUAAUGAGAAAAAAAAUGCGACAACGAUAAAUGAGUGGCGCUAAAGCUUAUAUUAAGGGUGGCUUUUUUAUUCGGUAUUGGGGUUUUGGGAGAUGAUUGCUGUUUUAAUCAAGCGAAAGCAUUCGGAUCGAUUGCGACUGCUGCUUGAUAUUAUGAAUAUUAAUCGGGCGGCAUUAGCGCUAAUCUUGAUAAUGAUGCGCGCACGGUUGGUGCUGAAAGGGAACCGGUGGAACAAAAGGUGUAUAAAAUCAAAAGUGUCUAAUAAGCGAUCUACAAGAGAUUGUAGAAUAAAAAAAAGAGAGAUGAGAGGAACCCUGCAAGCCGAGGAUGUAUGGUGAUGAGACAUGAAUAGAUGAAAGAACCAGAGGGCAAUUCGUUGGACAGAGAUCAGCGGAGGAAUGUUGCAGCUCUGCUCCUCUACGUACCAGAGCCUUCAAAUUAAUGCAGCAAAGGAAGUCGAAUUAUAAGGACGGCCGCACUUUGCAUAGGCAGGCGAUUUAAAUAAUUUAAAUUUAUCUGCUGGUGGAUUUAAUUAAUUUCAGGGAUGGGAAGCAUGGGAUUUUAUUAUUUGUUUCACUGUCUUGUUUAUAAUUAUGUCUCUUUCAAACGUUCUCAUCUUAGAAAUUAUUUUGUUAAUUGUUAAUUGUUUUCAGAAUUAGAUCAUCUCUCCAAUCACUAGCGCGGCGCUUUGGAAUCAAUUUUAUAUCACAAUGCUGCGGAAAAUGCUCAAGUUCUACUUUUACACACGACACACUCAAAUAUUUCUAUUUAGAAAGCCAGGAUUAAUUAUUAGGCACACUAUAUUCAUAUUUACAGUUACCCUUUUAAUGGUUUGUUAAUUAAUUAAAAUUGAUAUCACCUGGUUUACUUUUCUCAAGAACUUUGAAAUAUUUAUAUGUAAAAUGCAUUAAAUUAGUGAAAGUAAUUUGUAAAUUUAAUAUUAAUGGAGUGGAAGUUUAUGUGUAUAAUGUGGUUAGUUUAUUUAAUUACUGGUUUGUGUAUUGUUAAAAUUAGGCUUAAAAGUACUGUUUAAGGUUAUUUAUAAAUUGAUUAAAUUGUUACAAAUGUUACAAAAUCAAAAUAAAAAAGGGAAAAUUUGUAAAAUUGAUAGAUUUAUGAAGUUUAUCAAAAGCUUUUUAACUUUUAAAAUAGGAUUUGAAAUACAAAAUCAAUUUUUGUUAUUACAAAAGAGAAAAAAAAUUCUAAAGAAGAUUGUUGUGCUCAUAAACACAAAAUAUCAGCAACGUUGAGCUGAAUAUUGAAAUAAAAAAGAGCAAUUCUUUUGCCGAACACAUGGGUCCCCCCAAAUUUGAUGCUGGCGUCCUGAAAUUUUCGUGGCUUAAUCCUCAUGACUUGAAAGCAAACUCCAUAAAUUUUUAUAAAAAAAUUUUCAAAAUUGCGGGUUUUACGGGACAUUUUGAAAAAAUAAAAAAACCUAAUUAUCUCGUCUCCCCGUGGUCGUAUAAUAAAAAUCUGGGUAUGUUUGGAUUUGUCUCAUCAAUAUCUACAAAAAUAAAUUAAUUUAAAGGUCAUAGGUCAAAGGUCAAGGUCAUUUAUUUCAAAUUCAAAAUUUCAAACUCAAAUUUUAAGAUGUGCCUCACGCUAAAAGUCAAAUUUGACAUCGUCAUUCAAUUUCUCGUGAAAUUUUACGUAAUAUAUGUCAAAAUUGCGAUGUGGUUAUUUUUAGUUAAAUUUAAAAUAAAAUUAAAAGAUUAAAAAACGUGGUUUUUUGCCCCUCGGUGUGCAGAUUUCCUUAGAAUAUCAUUAAUUUCUCGAUUUGUGUUGAUUUUAGACAUAUAUAGUUAAUGACAAAAAUUGACCUUCUUAUCUAGACCAAUCGAAUGGUGUGCAUGUCAAUGACCUUUGGUGAACUUGGGUCAAAGGUCACCGUGACCCAUGACCUUGAGUGACCUGACCUAUAUGUGUGAUACGUAGUUGGAAAGAUCUUGUUAAGAAGAUAAUUUUUAUCACCGGGUUUUUGUCUCUAGGUCUACUAGAAUUCAAUUAAUCGUUGUUUUAUGAUAAUUAAAAGGCAAUAUCUGCAUUAUAAAAACUAAACAAUCUAAUAACUUCGGUUCUAGUAGACGUAGAGACAAAAACUCUGUGACAAAAAUUAUUUUCUUAGCGAGAUCUUUCCAACAACGUAUCACACAUAUAGGUCAGGUCACUCAAGGUCAUGGGUCACGGUGACCUUUGACCCAAGUUCACCAAAGGUCAUUGACAUGCACACCAUUCGAUUGGUCUAGUUAAGAAGGUCAAUUUUUGUCAUUAACUAUAUAUGUCUAAAAUCAACACAAAUCGAGAAAUUAACGAUAUUCUAAGGAAAUCUGCACACCGAGGGGCAAAAAACCACGUUUUUUAAUCUUUUAAUUUUAUUUUAAAUUUAACUAAAAAUAACCACAUCGCAAUUUUGACAUAUAUUACGUAAAAUUUCACGAGAAAUUGAAUGACGAUGUCAAAUUUGACUUUUAGCGUGAGGCACAUCUUAAAAUUUGAGUUUGAAAUUUUGAAUUUGAAAUAAAUGACCUUGACCUUUGACCUAUGACCUUUAAAUUAAUUUAUUUUUGUAGAUAUUGAUGAGACAAAUCCAAACAUACCCAGAUUUUUAUUAUACGACCACGGGGAGACGAGAUAAUUAGGUUUUUUUAUUUUUUCAAAAUGUCCCGUAAAACCCGCAAUUUUGAAAAUUUUUUUAUAAAAAUUUAUGGAGUUUGCUUUCAAGUCAUGAGGAUUAAGCCACGAAAAUUUCAGGACGCCAGCAUCAAAUUUGGGGGGACCCAUGUGGUUAGUAAAAGAUUUGCUCAAAAUAAAAUAAAUAAAUCUUAAUAAAAUUAUAAUUUAAAAGGAUUAAAGUGUGUAGCAGUGUUUUAAGCUACUGUAAUUCCAGUUGUCAGUGGCUGUGUGUUGAGAAAUUUGUUUAAAAAUCCAGGUGCGCAUAAUCAGUGUAUUUUUAGAAAAGUGUAAUUUUGACCUCUCCGAGGGUUGUGUCGUCUGAUCUCUUACCAACGUCAUCACCCUGUGGCGGGCGGAAAAGGCUCUCAAUUCAGGCGGCUUGGCCGAGAGCCUGGUCACCUGGAUAUCCUCGGUGCGCACGCUGCAGGGCUCCAGGUCUUUGAUUUCGUCUAGAAGUACCUCGAUCUCGUCGGCGCCGUACAGGUCGGACACCGAGUUGACGUAGCGUCCGGUGGAGGGUGCGUUGGGCGUGAUGGCCGUGUUGGCGCUGUAGCUGACGGUCGGCUUGGCGACGGCCUCCAGCAGGUCGCCCACCGAGCGGGGCAUCCUCCUGUCCAAAACUCUCUCUCUCUCUACCAACCCUGCUCUUUCUCUCUCUGAUUCUCUACACACGCAUGACUAGUCUGCGCAUUCACGGGAGCCUGUACAGUGUGGACAGAGCGGGUUCCAACUUGCUGCACUUACACACGCGGCGACGUCGUCAACUCGACCGGCGCAUCGCCUCCUCGCCGCCGCCGUCCGACCGACCGUCCCUGUCGAGACCGCGUCUCUUCUACUCGGCACACUUGGCGACCAAUGGCAACUGCGCGCUGAUGCUGGUGCUCACCGGUCGGACGCUCGAUUCAGACAUUGUCUUCCGCACGCACGGCGAUUGGGCCAAAUCAAAGGCUCUGAAAUGCAGUGGAAAAUUAUUAUUGAUGAUAUCAAAUUAAUUGAAAGACUCGAAAACACACGUUUAUCCAUUGAUGCGGGAAUUGUUUUUAAAAGUUGAAAUUUUAAAACUGUUAAAAAAAGGGGCUUAAAUUGUUUUAAUGAAAGUAAUUGUAUCAAAAAUUAAUUUAUUAAUUGUAAUAUUAAAUUUUUUGUCAAAUGUUAAAACAAUCAGAAAAUUAAUUAUUGUAUGCCAAUUUUUGUUUGAAUAAUUCAAUUCUUGAAUAAGCAGCUGAAACAUU